GGGAAUGUGGCUUAGUGGUAGAGUGCUUGCCUACCAUGCAUGAAGCCCUGAGCUCGAUUCCUCAGUACCA
rfam:Dipodomys ordii contig_56805, whole genome shotgun sequence.